GGUGGGUUGUAGCUCAGUGGUAGAACAUCUGAUUUGCAUUCAAAAGGUCCCAGUUUUAAUCCCGGGCAUCUCCA